AGAUGAGGAAACUGAGGUUCAGAGAAGUCAUCAAGACUCCCGCCCAGGCCCAGUGAAAGGGCCACGGAUGUUUUGGAAGGAGAAAGAGCUCAAGAAGCCCUCUUGUGGACGUUCCAGGAAA